UGCGCAGGCGGUUCUGUAAGUCAGAUGUGAAAUCCCCGGGCUCAACCUGGGAACUGCAUUUGAGACUGCAAAGCUAGAGUGUGUCAGAGGGGGGUAGGAAUUCCACGUGUAGCAGUGAAAUGCGUAGAUAUGUGGAGGAAUACCGAUGGCGAAGGCAGCCCCCUGGGAUAACACUGACGCUCAUGCACGAAAGCGUGGGGAGCAAACAGGAUUAGAUACCCUGGUAGUCCACGCCCUAAACGAUGUCGACUAGUUGUUGGGUCUUAAUUGACUUAGUAACGCAGCUAACGCGUGAAGUCGACCGCCUGGGGAGUACGGUCGCAAGAUUAAA
rnacentral:rRNA from 1 species